UAUCUAAAGUGCUAUAGUGGGGUUAAGAGCCUUAAACCCUAUUAUAUCUCAUAUAUAGGACUAUUACAAAAUACAAAUUCUAAGGGUGUCCCAUUCCUCCUCUUUUUAAGCCCUUCCCAUCCUCAUAACUUAAGUACACUCACAAAUAUUAGGCGAUGCGAGACUCGUCUCACUUGUUUUAGCCGAUCAUGCGGGGAGCUACAUUUCACCCACAACGAUUGUCAGUCGGAAGGCUGCACUUUGCCCGUUGUAUGAACCUAUCUCAACCGAGACUAAUAUAAUACAUACAGCUCUGUUCGCUAUAUGAUCUGAACUCAACCGAGAUUUAUCUCAUACUUUUGACUGAUGAUUAACUCUGAUACUAACUAUGACGUACCGCUUCCCUGGGUGUCACCUGUUGUAAAAUUACAAUAACCCUAAUACGGAUAACUCUCUUAAUUUUUUGGACUUAACUACUGUCCAAAAUGUUAUAGUCGGUUAUAUAUAUAACUAUUCCAAAU
rnacentral:lncRNA from 1 species